CACUUGCUUCCUGAACACGCCCAAUCUCAUCUGAUCUCGGAAGCCAAGCAGAGUGGGGCCUGGUUAGUACUUGAAUGGGAGCCACUUGCUUCUGACCUUCUCCCAGACUAGGUGAGGGA
rnacentral:rRNA from 1 species